rnacentral:lncRNA from 1 species
GGGAGCUUUGGGGACGCACUUGUGGAUGCCUAGGCCUCUUCCGUUUGCCUCUGGGACUGGCGAUACUCGAGAUGUCUUGAGGCCUUCCAGACCUUGCUCCACCUCCACCACCAGGUCUCCAGUCCUGAGCCACAUGCUGCCAUUUUUGUCUCAGAAGCACCCCUCUUCCAGGUGGAAGAUUGAAGGUCUGAAGAGUGGGAAGACCCAGGAACAGGCAAGUCCAGGAAGAUAUGAGGAAAAUCAAGAAAGAGAAGGAAACUGAAGCUAGUGGGAAGUGCUUCAAGUUGGAGAUGAUGCUGAGAUGGCCAAAAAGUGAGAGGUGGAAAACAUUUGGAGUGAGUUAAGGAGAGAACGCGAGGCAAGGAAGUGAAGCCGAGUUUGGACCAGAAGGAAGACCA